UAAGGCUGACAUUUUCCUCAUCUAG
rnacentral:piRNA from 1 species